CAGUCGCCACGGUAAUACGUAGGUGGCAAGCGUUGUCCGGAAUUAUUGGGCGUAAAGGGCUCGCAGGCGGUUUCUUAAGUCUGAUGUGAAAGCCCCCGGCUCAACCGGGGAGGGUCAUUGGAAACUGGGAAACUUGAGUGCAGAAGAGGAGAGUGGAAUUCCACGUGUAGCGGUGAAAUGCGUAGAGAUGUGGAGGAACACCAGUGGCGAAGGCGACUCUCUGGUCUGUAACUGACGCUGAAGAGCGAAAGCGUGGGGAGCGAACAGGAUUAGAUACCCCGGUAGUCCCUGUCUCUUAUAC
rnacentral:rRNA from 1 species